CUGCUGCCUUCCGUAGGAGUUUGGGCCGUGUCUCAGUCCCAAUGUGGCCGUCCACCCUCUCAGGCCGGCUACUGAUCGUCGCCUUGGUGGGCCUUUACCCCGCCAACCAGCUAAUCAGACGCGGGUCCAUCUUGCACCACCGGAGUUUUUCACACUGUCCCAUGCAGGACCGUGCGCUUAUGCGGUAUUAGCACCUAUUUCUAAGUGUUAUCCCCCAGUGCAAGGCAGGUUACCCACGCGUUACUCACCCGUCCGCCACUAAG
rnacentral:rRNA from 1 species